rnacentral:rRNA from 1 species
GGAAACCGAGUCUUAACUGGGCGUUAAGUUGCAGGGUAUAGACCCGAAACCCGGUGAUCUAGCCAUGGGCAGGUUGAAGGUUGGGUAACACUAACUGGAGGACCGAACCGACUAAUGUUGAAAAAUUAGCGGAUGACUUGUGGCUGGGGGUGAAAGGCCAAUCAAACCGGGAGAUAGCUGGUUCUCCCCGAAAGCUAUUUAGGUAGCGCCUCGUGAAUUCAUCUCCGGGGGUAGAGCACUGUUUCGGCAAGGGGGUCAUCCCGACUUACCAACCCGAUGCAAACUGCGAAUACCGGAGAAUGUUAUCACGGGAGACACACGGCGGGUGCUAACGUCCGUCGUGAAGAGGGAAACAACCCAGACCGCCAGCUAAGGUCCCAAAGUCAUGGUUAAGUGGGAAACGAUGUGGGAAGGCCCAGACAGCCAGGAUGUUGGCUUAGAAGCAGCCAUCAUUUAAAGAAAGCGUAAUAGCUCACUGGUCGAGUCGGCCUGCGCGGAAGAUGUAACGGGGCUAAACCAUGCACCGAAGCUGCGGCAGCGACACUGUGUGUUGUUGGGUAGGGGAGCGUUCUGUAAGCCUGUGAAGGUGUGCUGUGAGGCAUGCUGGAGGUAUCAGAAGUGCGAAUGCUGACAUAAGUAACGAUAAAGCGGGUGAAAAGCCCGCUCGCCGGAAGACCAAGGGUUCCUGUCCAACGUUAAUCGGGGCAGGGUGAGUCGACCCCUAAGGCGAGGCCGAAAGGCGUAGUCGAUGGGAAACAGGUUAAUAUUCCUGUACUUGGUGUUACUGCGAAGGGGGGACGGAGAAGGCUAUGUUGGCCGGGCGACGGUUGUCCCGGUUUAAGCGUGUAGGCUGGUUUUCCAGGCAAAUCCGGAAAAUCAAGGCUGAGGCGUGAUGACGAGGCACUACGGUGCUGAAGCAACAAAUGCCCUGCUUCCAGGAAAAGCCUCUAAGCAUCAGGUAACAUCAAAUCGUACCCCAAACCGACACAGGUGGUCAGGUAGAGAAUACCAAGGCGCUUGAGAGAACUCGGGUGAAGGAACUAGGCAAAAUGGUGCCGUAACUUCGGGAGAAGGCACGCUGAUAUGUAGGUGAAGUCCCUCGCGGAUGGAGCUGAAAUCAGUCGAAGAUACCAGCUGGCUGCAACUGUUUAUUAAAAACACAGCACUGUGCAAACACGAAAGUGGACGUAUACGGUGUGACGCCUGCCCGGUGCCGGAAGGUUAAUUGAUGGGGUCAGCGCAAGCGAAGCUCUUGAUCGAAGCCCCGGUAAACGGCGGCCGUAACUAUAACGGUCCUAAGGUAGCGAAAUUCCUUGUCGGGUAAGUUCCGACCUGCACGAAUGGCGUAAUGAUGGCCAGGCUGUCUCCACCCGAGACUCAGUGAAAUUGAACUCGCUGUGAAGAUGCAGUGUACCCGCGGCAAGACGGAAAGACCCCGUGAACCUUUACUAUAGCUUGACACUGAACAUUGAGCCUUGAUGUGUAGGAUAGGUGGGAGGCUUUGAAGUGUGGACGCCAGUCUGCAUGGAGCCGACCUUGAAAUACCACCCUUUAAUGUUUGAUGUUCUAACGUGGACCCGUGAUCCGGGUUGCGGACAGUGUCUGGUGGGUAGUUUGACUGGGGCGGUCUCCUCCUAAAGAGUAACGGAGGAGCACGAAGGUUGGCUAAUCCUGGUCGGACAUCAGGAGGUUAGUGCAAUGGCAUAAGCCAGCUUGACUGCGAGCGUGACGGCGCGAGCAGGUGCGAAAGCAGGUCAUAGUGAUCCGGUGGUUCUGAAUGGAAGGGCCAUCGCUCAACGGAUAAAAGGUACUCCGGGGAUAACAGGCUGAUACCGCCCAAGAGUUCAUAUCGACGGCGGUGUUUGGCACCUCGAUGUCGGCUCAUCACAUCCUGGGGCUGAAGUAGGUCCCAAGGGUAUGGCUGUUCGCCAUUUAAAGUGGUACGCGAGCUGGGUUUAGAACGUCGUGAGACAGUUCGGUCCCUAUCUGCCGUGGGCGCUGGAGAACUGAGGGGGGCUGCUCCUAGUACGAGAGGACCGGAGUGGACGCAUCACUGGUGUUCGGGUUGUCAUGCCAAUGGCACUGCCCGGUAGCUAAAUGCGGAAGAGAUAAGUGCUGAAAGCAUCUAAGCACGAAACUUGCCCCGAGAUGAGUUCUCCCUGACCCUUUAAGGGUCCUGAAGGAACGUUGAAGACGACGACGUUGAUAGGCCGGGUGUGUAAGCGCAGCGAUGCGUUGAGCUAACCGGUACUAAUGAACCGUGAGGCUUAACCUUACAACGCCGAAGGUGUUU